CAGUCGCCGCGGGAAUACGUAGGGUGCAAGCGUUAAUCGGAAUUACUGGGCGUAAAGCGUGCGCAGGCGGUUCGUUAAGACAGAUGUGAAAUCCCCGGGCUUAACCUGGGAACUGCAUUUGUGACUGGCGGGCUAGAGUAUGGCAGAGGGGGGUAGAAUUCCACGUGUAGCAGUGAAAUGCGUAGAGAUGUGGAGGAAUACCGAUGGCGAAGGCAGCCUCCUGGGCCAAUACUGACGCCCAUGCACGAAAGCGUGGGGAGCAAACAGGAUUAGAGACCCGUGUAGUCCCUGUCUCUUAUAC
rnacentral:rRNA from 1 species